GCAGCCAUAGAGCUGGUGGAGAGGCGAAGCACAUGCAACUGGAGAAGAGGGAAGAUUGACAGAAAGAGUGUGUACGUGCAAGGGUAUGCGCAGAGUGGAUGUAGCAGAAGAGGGGAAAGAGGGCUUUGUGCCCAGUGCACAUUCAUCACCUAAGUGACCACACUGAGGUUUCCAGUGGUGCCAGUGUCAAGGUCUUCCAACAACUCCAGGUCUUCCAGCAACUGCAAGUCUUCCAACUAAUUCCAAGUCUUCCAAUAACCUCAAGGUCUUCCAGCCAAUCCGGGUCUCCCAGCAGAACCCAGUCUUCCAGAAAAUCCACGUCUUCCAGACAAUCCAUGUCUUCCAACAAGGUCCAAGUCUUCCAGAAAAUCCAGUCUUCCAGCAAUUACAGAUCUUCCACAAGAUAGUUCUUCCAGGAAAAUCCACGUCUUCCAGGAAAAUCCAUGUCUUCCAGAAAUCCAUGUCUUCCAGUACUUUAAAGGUCUUCCAAUAAAUUCAAGUCUUCCAGCCAAUCCGUAUCUUCCAGUAAUUCCAAGAUCUUCCACCAUAUCCAGGUCUUCCAGCCAGUCCUGUCUUCCGGAAUAAUUUGUCUUCCAACCAGGCCAGGUCUUCCAGUCAAUCUGUGUCUUCUGGAAAGAAUCCAGGUCUUCCAGUCAGCCCAUGUCUUCCAGAAAAAUCUACGCCUUCCACCAAAUCCAGGUCUCCUGGUCAAUCCAUGUCUUCUAGAAAAUCUAUUUCUUCCCCAAACCUCCAGGUCUUCCAGACAGUCCACGUCUUCUGGAAAAAUCUGUGUCUCCCACCACAUCCGGUUCUUCCAAUAAAGCCAUGUCUUCCAGAAAAUUCAUGUUCUUCCAAUAACCUCCAGGUCUUCCAGCAAAAAUGUGUCUUCCUGGAGAUCUGUAUCUUCCAGCAAAUCCAUGUCUUCCAGACAAUAUAUGUCUUCUGGACAAUUCGGGUCUUUGUGAAAAUCCACGUCUUCCAAAAAAAUCACAUCUUCCAGAAAAAUCCACAUCUUCCAGUGACCUCCAGGUCUUCCAGAAAAUCCAUGUCUUCCAUCAAAUCCACCUCUUCCAACAAGCUAUGUCUUCCUGAAUAUCCAUGUCUUCUGGUCUGCCCAUGUCUUCCAACAAAGCUAUGUCUUCCACAAAAUCCACAUCUUCCAAAGACCUCCAAGUCUUCCAGAAAAUUUGUCUUCCAGAAAAUCCACGUGUUCCAUCAAAUCCAUGUCUUCCAACCUACUCUCAUCUUCCAGAAAACCCAUGUCUUCCAACAAAGCCACGUCUUCCAGAAAAUUCAUGUCUUCCAACUAAGCCAAGUCUUCCAACAAAUCCACAUCUUCCUACAACUCAAGGUCUUCCAGCAUCUCCAGGGCUUCCAGCAUUGGCUCAUCUUCCAGCACCUCCACGUCUUCCAGCAUCUCCACGUCUUCCAACAUCUUCAAGUCUUCCAGCAACUUCCCAGGCUUCCAACAGCGGGCUCAAUAUCCAACGUCUUCCAACGUCUCCAGUGUACCGGUCUUCUAACAUUCAGGUCUUCCAGUAUCUGCAAUAUCCAGGAUCUACCUGCUUCUUCAAGUAUCCCUGACCUUCUGGAUGCCUGACCACUGCCUUAUGUCCAACUAAUGGUAACUACAACUCCUUAACUCCCAGCAUGCUGACUUAGAGAACUAACAACUUGGUUCUUCCAAGUCUCAGCUCCUACCAGGUACCUCCAGCAAUGUUGCAAUUCGUGCUUCUGGCUGGCAUGACAAAUA
ensembl:lincRNA